rnacentral:rRNA from 1 species
GACGAACGCUGGCGGCGUGCUUAACACAUGCAAGUCGAACGGAAAGGCCCUGCUUUUGUGGGGUGCUCGAGUGGCGAACGGGUGAGUAACACGUGAGUAACCUGCCCUUGACUUUGGGAUAACUUCAGGAAACUGGGGCUAAUACCGGAUAGGAGCUCCUGCUGCAUGGUGGGGGUUGGAAAGUUUCGGCGGUUGGGGAUGGACUCGCGGCUUAUCAGCUUGUUGGUGGGGUAGUGGCUUACCAAGGCUUUGACGGGUAGCCGGCCUGAGAGGGUGACCGGCCACAUUGGGACUGAGAUACGGCCCAGACUCCUACGGGAGGCAGCAGUGGGGAAUAUUGCACAAUGGGCGGAAGCCUGAUGCAGCAACGCCGCGUGCGGGAUGACGGCCUUCGGGCUGUAAACCGCUUUGGCCUGUGACGAAGCGUGAGUGACGGUAAUGGGUAAAGAAGCACCAGCUAACUACGUG